rnacentral:rRNA from 1 species
GUUUGAUCAUGGCUCAGAUUGAACGCUGGCGGCAUGCCUUACACAUGCAAGUCGAACGGUAACAGGUUAAGCUGACGAGUGGCGAACGGGUGAGUAAUAUAUCGGAACGUGCCCAGUAGUGGGGGAUAGCCCGGCGAAAGCCGGAUUAAUACCGCAUACGACCUACGGGUGAAAGAGGGGGAUCGCAAGACCUCUCGCUAUUGGAGCGGCCGAUAUCAGAUUAGGUAGUUGGUGGGGUAAAAGCCUACCAAGGCGACGAUCGGUAGCUGUUCUGAGAGGAAGAUCAGCCACACUGGGACUGAGACACGGCCCAGACUCCUACGGGAGGCAGCAGUUGGGAAUCUUGGACAAUGGGGGAAACCCUGAUCCAGCCAUGCCGCGUGAGUGAUGAAGGCCUUCGGGUUGUAAAACUCUUUCGCGCACGACGAUAAUGACGGUAGUGCGAGAAGAAGCUCCGGCUAACUUCGUGCCAGCAGCCGCGGUAAUAA